rnacentral:rRNA from 1 species
GACGAACGCUGGCGGCGUGCUUAACAUAUGCAAGUCGAACGCUGAAGCUUGGUGCUUGCACUGGGUGGAUGAGUGGCGAACGGGUGAGUAAUACGUGAGUAACCUGCCCUUGACUCUGGGAUAAGCCUGGGAAACUGGGUCUAAUACUGGAUACGACAUGUCACCGCAUGGUGGUGUGUGGAUAGGGUUUUACUGGUUUUGGAUGGGCUCACGGCCUAUCAGCUUGUUGGUGGGGUAAUGGCUCACCAAGGCGACGACGGGUAGCCGGCCUGAGAGGGUGACCGGGCACACUGGGACUGAGACACGGCCCAGACUCCUACGGGAGGCAGCAGUGGGGAAUAUUGCCCAAUGGGCGGAAGCCUGAUGCAGCGACGCCGCGUGAGGGAUGACGGCCUUCUGGUUGUAAAACUCUUUCAGCACGGAAGAAGCGAAAGUGACGGUACGUGCAGAAGAAGCGCCGGCUAACUACGUG